rnacentral:rRNA from 1 species
GACGAACGCUGGCGGCGUGCUUAACACAUGCAAGUCGAACGGAAAGGCCCUGCUUUUGUGGGGUGCUCGAGUGGCGAACGGGUGAGUAACACGUGAGUAACCUGCCCUUGACUUUGGGAUAACUUCAGGAAACUGGGGCUAAUACCGGAUAGGAGCUCCUGCUGCAUGGUGGGGGUUGGAAAGUUUCGGCGGUUGGGGAUGGACUCGCGGCUUAUCAGCUUGUUGGUGGGGUAGUGGCUUACCAAGGCUUUGACGGGUAGCCGGCCUGAGAGGGUGACCGGCCACAUUGGGACUGAGAUACGGCCCAGACUCCUACGGGAGGCAGCAGUGGGGAAUAUUGCACAAUGGGCGGAAGCCUGAUGCAGCAACGCCGCGUGCGGGAUGACGGCCUUCGGGUUGUAAACCGCUUUCGCCUAUGACGAAGCGUGAGUGACGGUAAUGGGUAAAGAAGCGCCGGCUAACUACGUG